GUUCAAUUUACAUGAAGCGAUUUUUGGCGCUUGAAAGAUUUGAUAAGAUGUUAGUGCAUUCAAGCUUGCAGUCCACAUUGAUGUCAACGACAGCUGAGCUAUCCAGAGUGUCAGUCAGAUGUCAAAAACACUCAAAAUCCAUUGAAUGAUCUAGAAGCCUGGGAAUCACACUCUAGCUGCCUGCAAGCAAGACGAAGAUGGCCCUGAAGGUCGAUACCAGCAAGAUGAUUGACACAUCCAGGGCACUCUCCUGACAAGGCUGUCUUGUCAAAAAUCACCUCAUAAAAGAUUUGAACCUUACUGAAUACCAUCCCAGGGUUAGCAAUGACACCUAGUCGCAAAAAUGCUGCUGCCUACAGGAGAACGUUGUAUCCAACCCUCAGUAAGGGAAAGGGACCUGGUGAAGAAGAUGAGAAUACCUAGUUGAGGAAUUGAGUCUUACCCGGGCUCAAUUGUUGAG